AAAUUGAAGAGUUUGAUCAUGGCUCAGAUUGAAUGCUGGCGGCAGGCCUAACACAUGCAAGUCGAACGGUAACAGGAAACAGCUUGCUGUUUCGCUGACGAGUGGCGGACGGGUGAGUAAUGUCUGGGAAACUGCCUGAUGGAGGGGGAUAACUACUGGAAACGGUAGCUAAUACCGCAUAACGUCGCAAGACCAAAGAGGGGGACCUUCGGGCCUCUUGCCAUCGGAUGUGCCCAGAUGGGAUUAGCUAGUAGGUGGGGUAACGGCUCACCUAGGCGACGAUCCCUAGCUGGUCUGAGAGGAUGACCAGCCACACUGGAACUGAGACACGGUCCAGACUCCUACGGGAGGCAGCAGUGGGGAAUAUUGCACAAUGGGCGCAAGC
rnacentral:rRNA from 1 species